rnacentral:rRNA from 1 species
CUGGCUCAGGACGAACGCUGGCGGCGUGCUUAACACAUGCAAGUCGAACGAUGAAGCCCUUCGGGGUGGAUUAGUGGCGAACGGGUGAGUAACACGUGGGCAAUCUGCCCUUCACUCUGGGACAAGCCCUGGAAACGGGGUCUAAUACCGGAUAACACUCUGUCCCGCAUGGGACGGGGUUAAAAGCUCCGGCGGUGAAGGAUGAGCCCGCGGCCUAUCAGCUUGUUGGUGGGGUAAUGGCCUACCAAGGCGACGACGGGUAGCCGGCCUGAGAGGGCGACCGGCCACACUGGGACUGAGACACGGCCCAGACUCCUACGGGAGGCAGCAGUGGGGAAUAUUGCACAAUGGGCGAAAGCCUUAUGCAGCGACGCCGCGUGAGGGAUGACGGCCUUCGGGUUGUAAACCUCUUUCAGCAGGGAAGAAGCGAAAGUGACGGUACCUGCAGAAGAAGCGCCGGCUAACUACGUGCCAACAGCCGCGGUAAUACGUAGGGCGCAAG